rnacentral:rRNA from 1 species
GUAACGCGUAAGGAACUUGCCCUGCAGACAGGGAUAACAGACGGAAACGACUGACAAGACCUGAUACAGUUGCCGGCACGCAUGUGCCUGGCGAUGAAAGGAGACGCUGCAGGAGAGCCUUGCGUCCUAUUAGCUUGUUGGCGGGGUAAUGGCCCACCAAGGCGAUGAUAGGUAGCCGGCCUGAGAGGGUGGACGGCCACAAGGGGACUGAGAUACGGCCCUUACUCC